rnacentral:rRNA from 1 species
UACGUAGGGUGCGAGCGUUAAUCGGAAUACUGGGCGUAAAGCGUGCGCAGGCGGUGAUGUAAGACCGAUGUGAAAUCCCCGGGCUUAACCUGGGAACUGCAUUGGUGACUGCAUUGCUCGAGUAUGGCAGAGGGGGGUGGAAUUCCACGUGUAGCAGUGAAAUGCGUAGAGAUGUGGAGGAACACCGAUGGCGAAGGCAGCCCCCUGGGCCAAUACUAACGGCUCAUGCA